CCUACGGGAGGCAGCAGUAAGGAAUAUUGGUCAAUGGAGGAAACUCUGAACCAGCCAUGCCGCGUGGAGGAUGAAGGUCCUCUGGAUUGUAAACUUCUUUUAUAUGGGACGAAAAAAGGCUUUUCUAAGUCGACUGACGGUACCAUAUGAAUAAGCACCGGCUAACUCCGUGCCAGCAGCCGCGGUAAUACGGAGGGUGCAAGCGUUAUCCGGAUUCACUGGGUUUAAAGGGAGCGUAGGUGGGUUGGUAAGUCAGAGGUGAAAUCUCCGAGCUUAACUCGGAAACUGCCUUUGAUACUAUCAGUCUUGAAUAUUGUGGAGGUUAGCGGAAUAUGUCAUGUAGCGGUGAAAUGCUUAGAUAUGACAUAGAACACCAAUUGCGAAGGCAGCUGGCUACACAUAUAUUGACACUGAGGCUCGAAAGCGUGGGGAUCAAACAG
rnacentral:rRNA from 1 species